ACUCAGCGCUUUUUCUGGAUGGAGAGAGAUGAGUCAUGGCUAACUCGGAGGUCACUGCUUUGCCUUCGCAGCUCUAGUUUUCUAGAUUAAGUUAACUGAGGUGGGAAAACCCACCCAGAACGUGGACAGCACUACUCCAUGGCUGGGGUUCUGGACUGAACAGGCAGCAAGCCCCAGAGAUCUGCUUGGCUCCACCCACUUCCUGCUGGGAUCGCAGUCAUGCCCACCAAGCCUAGCUUUUCCAGAGUUGACUGCGCCCCAAUUCCUCUGUGCUUUUGUCAUUGGGCCAGUUGUUCUUAAGAUGUCGUCCAGAAUUUACAGGUGUGGUUAACAAGGGGGCUGGUCAAAUAGAAGCUGUCCCCAUCACUGUGGAAGUGUGACAACCCUCCUCCUGGCUCCAGAUGCCGCUGAAUCAGCUCUAUCAUUUACAGCUCCGUUCUCCACAGCGACAUGAGACCUUGGAGGGAGAAAACACGGAAGUGGCCUCCAGGGUUACAGUGCAUCCCCAAAGUGAUGAUGCUACAAGCGUAGGCCAGGGUUACGGAAGAUGCGCCCUGGCCAACACGUGGGAGAGACAGAGAAGGAGCCUUCUAACACCGCAACUGCGACUCUUGAAAGAGCCGACCAGGAUCAUGGCAGGAAAGACAGAGAACAAAACGCAUGGCAUUGGACUCAGAAUCCUACAAGAAGCAGACCAAUUUUCCACUAAGGUCUAAGUCCCUUCAGGCUUUCCUGUUACUUCUGUUUUAGGGAGGGUGGUUACCGCCUUAUUUAGAGCAUGGCUUUGUCAGGAGUCAGCAUAGGCAAGGAACAAGGAAUUCCUCAAGAAUGCUCUUGCUGCUGGGAAGAGAGAGGGCCACAGAGAUUCCUGGGCUGCCUCAGCCUGCUGAUGAAUGCCUUCAUCCUGAUGCUAAUUACCACUGGAGCAUCCAAAGACUACCAGCCUGCAGCCUUGGCCAAAUAACACCGAUAAAAGCUAUUCAUCCUUUAGCAUUUCCUGACAGUGUGCCAAGACAGGCACACACCAGAAUGAGUUCCCAACCAGUGGUUUCAUUAGGAAUAAAACCAAAUAAAGCAGGCAGUUGAAGGAGGGCUCCAUUCACGAAUUCUCCAGAAGAUCCGAUUUGGUAAGACUUCCAGGUUAACAACAUAUAAACCAAUACGAUUUAGUUGAGAGUAACAGACAGAGGGAGGCCAGUACAUGAGAUAUCUAUUCCUUGAGCAGUAAGGGCAAACAAGUGAGCAGGAGAGAGAGAGAGAGAGAGAGAGAGAGAGAGAGAGAGAGAGAGAGAGAGAGAGAGAGAGAGGAAGGUGACGGUGAACAUCUACAAACAGCCAUGCAUAUGCAUGGGUUGGUGUAUUUUCUGCGCAGACUUUCUGCAAACACACCUGGCUACCUGUCAUUUUUAAACCACAAAUAAUGAAGUGCUCUUGCAGUUACCUGUGAACGCAGUUAUUGGUUGAGGAACCAAUUUUCUGCAGGUGUAAAAAUUACAUUUCUCAAAAGGAAAAUUGAGGAAUAGCCAGUUUACUCAUUAAGGCUUUAGAAUUCAGCUUUGGCUUGCUUUCUCUGAAAUGAUUCCUUCAUUUUGGGGUCACAAAAGUUUAACUGUAAUGCAAGAGGACCCUGGGUGCUGUGUGGUUCCAGGCCCUCUGUUCCUUUAAGAAUAAUCAAGGAACCUCAGGAACUUUCAUUUACAUGGGUUCUCUCUCCUAACCUUUUUAUUAAUACAUUAGAAAUUAAAACGGAGUAGAAUUUUAAUUGUUUAAAUCCAUUGCAAUCCACAAUCAUAAAAACCAUUACAUUAAACCCCUAACAUUUUAAAACUAGUUAUGCUUUGGCUUGUGGGUCAGUGGUUAGAAAGUUAUUUCCAAUAGCCUUUCCAGAUUAUUAUAGGAUUGUUCCUUGAUGCUAUAAAGACAAAAGGGAACUGGAUUGGAGGAAAAGACAACUUCGUGUGAAAAAUCGGAGCAGCACUGUUGAGGGCGAGCGUGAGGAAGGCUUACAGGGAGGCCUCAGGAGAAAAACACCAUUCUGUCAUCAAAUGCCUGGCUAGGGCUCCUCAAAACUGCCAAGGUCAUCAAAAACGAGAAAAGUCUCAGAAACUGUGACAGUUAGGAACUAAGGAGAUGAUAACCUCAGAAGUCAAUGGCAUCCUAGGACAGAGAAGGGACAUUAGAUCGAAAUAAGGAAGUGUGGAUAAAGUAGAAACUUAAUAAUACUGUUUCAGAGAGCUCAGGAGUUCAGGCUACCUUACCGGCAAAAUAGUAAUAACAUGAAAAAUGUAUUUAAUAUUUGUUCAUUAAAUGUACCAAACACA